rnacentral:lncRNA from 1 species
GGCUUUUUUUUUUUUUUUUUUUUUUUUUUUUUUUUUUUUUUUUAAAAACAAAAAAAAAAAAAAAAAAAAAAAAAAUUAAGAAACUCCAUUUGGGGUUUCAGGGAUGAUGAUGCUCUUAGUACUCCAAUAUCUUUAAGAUUCUUAUUUUCAAACCUGGUAAAUUAAUUGUUUGACAUUACCAAACGCAAAUAUUACACUGCAUGUCACUGACAUAAGGAACAGAUUGUCGCGGAUUUAUUGCAAAUUCUGUCACAAAUUAAUAUGAGGAACAUACGUAUGUUGCAUGCAGUAAUAGUUUUUUGCUUGCAGUAAAUUUUUUUUUUUUGCUUGCAGUAAUCUUAUAGGUUGCUUGCUUUACUAUUAAAAGUUUCGUGUUAGUUUUUUUUGUGAUACCGUUUGUAAGCGAUUGAUGACAAGAUGAGUGCUAACGUAGAUAACUGAUGAUUAAAGAAGACGCAAAAGUUUGGCGUUUCUUUAGAGUUUUGGUUUGAGCCCUCACAUGCGCGUAUGAACCGUCCAACAUCAAAGUAACUAACGUGCGCUUCGUAUCAAAGUUAACACAGAUUUGACCAAAUAUCAUAUAUCUAAAUUAGAUAAUCUAAUACACAUCCAUCUAUUCCCAUUCA